rnacentral:rRNA from 1 species
GACGGAGGGGGCAAGCGUUGUCCGGACUCACUGGGCGUAAAGCGCACGUAGGCGGUCAUCUGCGUCGGUGCUGAAAGCGCCAGGCUCAACCUGGCGAGGCGUGCCGAUACGAGGUGACUGGAGGCAGGCAGAGGGUGGCGGAAUUCCGGGUGUAGUGGUGAAAUGCGUAGAGAUCCGGAGGAACGCCUGUGGCGCAAGCGGCCACCUGGGCCUGACCUGACGCUGAGGUGCGAAAGCGUGGGGAGCGAACCGG